rnacentral:lncRNA from 1 species
AAGGGGGCGGUUGGGCGGCUCAGGUCAGGCCAGGGUCCUGGGGUCGAGCCUCGGCUCAGGCCACAAUCCCCGGGGGUCCCGGGGUCCCUGCUCAGCGGGGUCCGCUUCGCCCUCUGCUCCUCCUCCCGAUCGUGCGCGCGCUCGCUCCCUCUCUCAAAUGUUUUUUUAAAAAAUCACAUAAAAGUAGGAGAGGGUUUAAACUUGGUUUUGAGUGGAAGACAAGAGCAUGUCCAACAACCGCACACAGGGGUAUGGCCGGCUGUUACUUAUCCAUCCACAGGCCCCUCGCCGGGCCGCGUGACCCCCGCCGCCCGNNNNNNNNNNNNNNNNNNNNNNNNNNNNNNNNNNNNNNNNNNNNNNNNNNNNNNNNNNNNNNNNNNNNNGCUAGGGAGGGCCUGCGGGCGACUCCGGGACCCGCGCCCCGAGCCUCUCCCCGCGGGCGUGACGGCCGGGCGCGGGGCCUGUGACCCCCGCAGGAACCCUCGGGCCUCGGGCGAAGAACGGAGCCGGGAAGGGGCACAGGAGCCCGGGUUUAAACCUCAAAGACCAGAAUUCACUUACCAGAGCGCGACCUUCGCUUCCGGAAAUCUCCUUCCGGGGCAACCGGGAAGACGCGAAUCGCCUUGCAAGCCCAGGGCCCGCGCCCUGGACGGGUGGAAUGCGGCCCCUGAGAGCCUCCAGUCUGGGGAAAGCCUGGACCCUGUGGUGUGGCCUGUCUGAAGGGCGAGUGACGAUUGCCAGUUGAAAGUUGCCACCGCAGAAUGAUUUUCAGUGGACUUCCAGCUGGAUGUUGUACACAUAGACGAGGACUAUUAAUGUGGAAGUGUUUCAGGACUCCCCCCAAAUCUGCCCAAGUCAUAUUACUGUGUUAGAAAAACUUAUGUAUUUCCCCCUAGAAUGUCCUGCUAAAGCUAUGCGGACUGCCUUUUCUUUCUUUUUUCUUUUUCCAAAGAUUUUAUUUAUUUAUUCAUGGAGACACAGAGAGAGAGGCAGAGACAUAGGCAGAGGGAGGAAGAGGCUCCCCUUGAGCAGCCUGAUGUGGGACUUGAUCCUGGGAUCUCAGGAUCACGACCUGAGCCAAAGGCAGGUACUCAAGCACUGAGCCCCCUGGGAGUCCCUGGGCUGCCUUUUCUGCACAGGACUGUGUGGCUGCUAAGGUGUUCUUCACUAGGACAACUGGGAGACUUGAUUCCCUGUAAGCCUGGGGCCCUACAAGAAGCCACUCAGUGGAAGUGAGGAUUGAGGGACGCCUGGGUGGCUCAGCGGUUGAGUGUCUGCCUUUGGGUCAGGGGGUGAUCCUGGGAUCCCCGGAUGGAGUCCUGUGUUGGGCUCCCCACAGGGAGCCUACUUCUGCCUCUGCCUGUGUCUCUGCCUCUCUCUGUGUCUCUCAUGAAUAAAUAAAUAAAAGUCAUUAAAAAAAUGAAAUGA